rnacentral:lncRNA from 1 species
UAAAUUCUCAUGGGUUGGUUCUUUGGGUAUGCAACACCUAGAGACUCAGCAUUCUUGAAUUCUCUGAUCGGUGUACCAUCCACAGAAAAGCUGAAAUGGGAGCACAAAUAAGUCAGAAAAACGAGACGAUAUCGUCUAAAUGUGAGGUGUUUGGUAACUGUGAAAUUACUUACAUGAUGCGUUGGGGAUUCCAGAGGAUGGAAUAGGUGUGAAAAUCUGCAGUCGGGUCGAACCAGAGAUAGAAUUGCUGCUCCCUGUUGCCCUUUCCUUGGCCAAACACAUUGGUGUGAAGAAUAUAAGGAUCCCCACUCAGGUUUCCCAAGAACUCGAAGUCUAUCUCAUCAUGGGUUGAUCCUUGAGAUGACAACUGCACAAUACAUAACACAAUAUUAGUUAUAACUUCCCAUCUAUAGUAUCAAGGAAGAAAAAAAGCUAAAAUAUCGUCCAGCUUACAUAAUAGGCAGUGACGGUGCCAGCAGAAUUUCCAGGUACGAGUUUGAGUUGCAUAUCAAUCUUGCCAAAUAGAUACUCAUUCUUGGAUUGAAAUCCAGAGCCAGAAAUUUUAUCAAGUGAGAGAGUCAGAAGUUCUCCAUUGUUGAGUAUCUUAGCUCUUCCAUCUCCCCAUGUGAUAUCAAAAUCUUGAUGGAAAUUACCUCCAAGUGCUAUUACAAAACAGCUACUUAUAACUAAAACUAAAGAAACUGAAUUCAAAGAAGCCAUUAUUGAAGAGUUGAAUUGCGUUGGCAAAGUAUAAUGAAUAAAUCUAAGAAGAUUUGGUGUUUAAGAUUGUUGUUUGAUGUUGGAAUAGGAUCCAUUCAAGGGUAUUUAUAGGGAGUUUGUGGGGUCUGUAGAAAUUGCAGGGAGGGUUCCAUAAAUUCAAGUUGUGUGGUGAAAAGUGUUUGAGCUGGAUACAGAUAUUGGCCAAAACGAGUUGCUGUCAACAGUUUUUUGUAUAUCCAGUGACAACCCAUUUCGCCUUUUAAUAUUUAUUAUUAAUACCACAGUCUACACUGUUCUGAUAAUAUUGUCCUAAGUGUAAGCUUUUGACUAGAGUACAACUGAUUUACCUUUCAAAUAGUAAUACCUCUACAAUUUAAAAUAGAUAUCGAUUCAUUUACAUACUGAUACAUCUAUAAUUCAAAGGAAUCAAACCGGACAAGAUCCAAAAUCGCUCGAUUUGCUCCAAUUAAAUUUUCCAUUGUCUACAGAACCUACUUGUCCAUUUUGAAAUUCUCAAUGGGAUUUGGUUCGGUUCAAGUUCUCAAGAAACUCAGGUUGAACAAGCUGGUAUCCACCCCUAAUAUUAAUUACUUUAAAGGUCCUUACCUUUAUCAUUUUCUUAUUUACAUCUUUAACUUUUUCAUCACAUCUUUAUUUUUAACAUUUCCUUAGCUAGCAAAUAUUAUCCUUAAUCGCAAUUUUCUUGCACAAAUGUUAUUAACGUGCUCUAAAAUGAGGAAUAAAUAUAUAGUUGUAAUUCUAUUUUUUUGGCUUAUUUAAAAAUACAAUGGUAAAUGUCUUUAUUUUAUUUGGACAAAAACCGCAAUAAGGGACAAGUUGUGUUAAUUUGAGAAUAAGAAUACAGUUUUAAAAAAUUAAGACAUAAAUGUGAUAAUGAUUAAAUAUUACAAACAUUUUCAUGCAAUCAAAAUGUGUUGUAAUUAUUAAAAAAUAUUUUGUGAAUAUAUUUAGCUUUACUAAAUAAUCACACACUGAAUAGAAGUUUUGGUUUAAGACAUAUUUCGUUUUCUUUAAGUUUAUCGAUUCAGCUCAAUCAAUUAUCAACAACCCUCAAAUUUGUUACUUAGCCCCUGUUUGAGCCACAUUUUUACUUCAUUAAAAUGAAAAAUAUGACCGUUAUUCAUCACAUCAAGCCACAAUUUUUGAAUUUCUAUCUCUGGUGUGGGGGCCCAUAACGGUUCUAUUUCUCAUUCUCAUUCUCAUUAUAAUGUGGCUCAAAUAGGCUCUUAAUAAUAAAUGUUUUAGCAUUAAACUAAUCAAAUAAGCCAUUAAUUUUUCAAUAGAGAUUUUAAAUUUUGAAAUAGACAUCAUCAAAUUGUAUUUGGUUCUUUAUUAGUGUUAUAACUUUUUUAUUUUUACAUUCUAAAAAAUAUAUAAUAAUAAUCGUUAUCUAGGUUUCCUCCAGAUAUCAUUAUUGGAUUCGGUAAAGAGAUCUGGCCACUGAAUUCACCAUUGUUCUUGUCCUACAUUGACAUUUAUUUUGUGGACUUUGGCUUUACUAGUUUUAUUGUUGUCUAGUUACAAUCUAUGCAUUACGCUCUAUUGGUUACUCUAUUUCAAAUCCAUUUAUAAAAAUUCUUUAGUUUUUUGAGAAAAACAUUAGUUCGAUCUAGAAAGAUUUGAUUAAAGUGAAGGUGAUCGACGACGAUGAGUUCACUUUUGCUUUUGUUACAAGGGAUUUCCGGAGAAUUUGAUUAAGCCCCUGUUUUCUUGAAAUUAAAAUAAAUAAAUAAAUAAAUAAAUAAAUUUUUAGUAGAUUUUGAUAAAAGUUGAUUAAAUAUGUGGUUGAAAAGUUGUGAAUCUAAUGAAAUGUAUAAUUAAAGAGUUUAACUCGUAUUUUAAUUAUUUUUUAGCUGAGCCAAAAAGAGGGCUAAAUUUUAGAAACUUCCCUCGUUGAUAUAAGAGAUUUUUGGGAAUUUUAGGAGUGUCUUAAGUAUUAGAUGUGACUCAUGCCUUAUAAUCGUUUGGAGGCGGGUCAAGUAACUUUGGUGCAAUAGGUCGAGUCUUGUGUUAACAUUAACAAUAUUAGUGUUGAUUAUUAAAUUGAAAAUUAUUUGAAUGGAAUAAAGCCUCGAAGGGGAUUAUCGAUUGUACUACCAAAAGUGUGACACAAUGAACUUUCGCCAAUAAUUAUUCACAAAAUAUAUUUCAGGUCCACUCAAGCUCUCUCAACGCGGAUUGUUUAUAAAUGUGGCCCCCUUGGCCUUAUAAAAAUAAACCUCAAUAGAAUUGAACUUAUAUAAAUGUACCUCAUUUUAUGAUCAUGAUCAAUUUGAUCAUAUGUAUAAUAUUAACUCUCAGAAUUCUCUACAUAGAUAUUUACAUGAAAGAUUUUAGAAAGUUUGUAUACAAUUACGAAAUUAGCCACUUCAAAUAGGUUCAUUGCUCCAGCUCAAAAUACGAUUAAUCCGACGUUGGCUAUAUAAGCUCCUAGUAGUUUACCGAAUAAUUAAUAACUCGAGCAUUCCCGGCCCACCAAGCAAAAUCGGUGAUUUCUUGGUCAUGAUCAAUUACAGCUAAAGUUCCAAUUUACAUAAUUUCCUUUUAAAAAUCUUCAGUCACAAUCUUUGCACAAUACAAUCCAUUUUCACGCGUCUCUUAACCUUUUAGAAUAAUUAUACAAAAGACUUUCACAAGUAUACUUUCAAAUUACCCCCAACGCAUAUCUAUCAAUGAAUCCCAUUAAGUAAUGUUGUUGAUAAUCCUGCACAAUAAUCAACGAACAAAAAGCAGUAAAUUUAAAAGUUUUUGUAAAAUUGACUAUUGUUUCAAUUUUUUCUCAAAUGUAAUAACAAAAAUUGAUGAAAUUUUGCAGGUGUCAUCAAUGAAAUAAUUUAUAGCAUUCUUCAACAUAGAUUAUGUUAAAUAUUCUUGAAAGAAUGAGAAUUUCAAGAUAUUUUUUGUGGUUAAAUCACCUCACUUUUUCAAACUUAGAAAUCUCCAUUAUUAGCAAUAGUUCCAAUAUCAAUCAUAAUGAAAAAAAGAUUAUUAUCAACAAUCUAUGUUAGAAUUUAUUGAAUGAAAUUAAACUCCAUAAAAUAAAAGAAAGAGGCACUCCAUGAUUGGAGGAGAAGAAACCUCCAUGAAAGGAGGGAUUGGAAUUCCACAAUACAAUUAUUUAUUAAUGAAUACAAUCACUCCAUUUAUAGAGAAAAAAGAUGAGUAAUUAACUGACUAAUUUGCUAAUUAACAGGCUAAUCACUAACUAAUUAACAUCCUAGACAUGAGCUGAAAUAUUCGAAAUUUGCUGUAACAUAUUUCUAACACACCCCCUCAAGAUGGACUAUAGAUAUCAACAAUAGUUCAUCUUGAAGAUUAAAGAGUGUACUGGAGGGAAAAACCAUGAUGAAUAGCCUUGCAGAACAAAUCUCUUGAAUCCAUAUAUAUGAGCAUCCAUUAGAUCAGCACGAAACAUCACCAAACAUUCCAUUCCCAUUCCAUUUCGUGCCAGUGCACAAUGCUUUCAGAGUUGAGGAGACUUGUUUUGUAUGGAAAACUUGGUAAGGUUCAUAAUGUAGAAAGGGAUGAUGUUCUCAAUGGAAGCAAACUGGCGGGUCAUUAGAUUUCACCAGAUCUGAUGGAUAAACAAGACUUAGUGUAGGCUUUGACCAUCCAUAAAGAUCUUUGAAAGUUUAGAGAACCAAAAUCUGAAAGAGAAGAAAUUUUAUUGUAGAGAAUCAAGGACGAAUUUUGAUGUUGCUGGCGCCAUUUUCUGAAGACGGGAACUGAACUUUUGCUGGAAUAACACUUUCCAGAAUUAUGCUAAAAUAGAAGAAAUUAGAGAUCUGUUUUCAUUUGUACAGAACACAGAAAGAGGGGAUGAAAAUCUCAAAAAAACACAGCAACAGGAAGAACUCUGCUCUGAUACUAUGUUAGAAUUUAUUGAAUGAAAUUAAACUCCAUAAAGCAGAAGAAAGAGGCACUCCAUGAUUGGAGGAGACGAAACCUCCAUGAAAGGAGGGAUUGGAAUUCCACAAUCCAAUUAUUUAUUAAUGAAUACAAUGACUCCAUUUAUAGAGAAAAAAUAUGAGUAAUUAACUGACUAAUUUGCUAAUUAACAGGUUAAUCACUAACUAAUUAACAUCCUAGACAUGAGCUGGAAUAUUCUAAAUUUGCUGUAACAUAUUUCUAACAAUCUAGGUACCAAAUUUGGUGAAUUUUCAUACCAAAUUUGUGGUUCUAGCUACUUUCAAUUUUGAUGGUAUUUCCUAUACGAAUUUUCACAAUUUUUCUUGCCACAUUUUUUCUCUCGUCCAAGACAAGACAUGAAAGUUGAGGAAGGUUGCGAGAAGUUAUAAGUUUAAAUUCCAAAUUCAAACCACUCCAACCCGUGGAGUUUCACUUGAUAGUUUUAUGAAGUUUUCACUUGAACGUUGUAAACCAAAAUACUAUUUACAAGUGCAACAUAAAAUUGGACAGGGAGCAUGAAAAACGAGGUGCUUGCAAGGCAAUGUGAAAUAAGAGAGAGUAACAGUGACUGAAAAUUUUAUGGUCAAUUUUGUGAUAGCUGAUGUUCAUAUUGGACUUGUAUGAUUUAUAAAAUUAUCAUUAAUUCAUAAUUUCCCAAUCGUCUUUUGCUAAUAAUAUAUUCUAAUGUAUAUAAACUUGUUAAGGACUUGCAUGUAAAUAGUUAUGUAAUUUUUUAACUUUCAUGUCAGUUUGCCCCCAUUUGGUGGCCAUUAUUGAAAGAAAAUGAUGUUUUGAAUAGUGAUUUUUUUUGGAAAAUACGUGAUUAAAUUUUAGUUAAAUGUCUGAAAGAAAGCAAAGGAACAUGUGAUAACUUUCCAAUAUGUUGAUCUGUCGGGAAAAAUUAUAUAGACUCUAAAAUUAUUUCCAACUGGGGAUGCUAAUAAUAUAUUCUAAUGUAUAUAAACUUUUAUUUCUUACAGAUGAUUACAAGUAAAAGAACAAAAGAAUUACUACUUUACUAGACUCCAAACAAAUCAAUAAAUGUAAUAUUCCUGUGCCUAAAUUAAUCAAACUUCAGAAAAUUAAUUCUUUUUAAGCUGAGGUGUUAAUACUACACUCUGGAGGAAAUCCUUGCGAGAAUCGCUUUGAAUCAGAGCAAUAAUUAUAUAUCAUGUAAUUUUUCUGCACCCAUUUUAGCCUCUCUUGGCUUGUGGAAUCCAAUUCUUCAUUCAGCCAUGAAUUGCUGCUACUUGAAGUAGAAGAUGGAGUGCAAGAAGAUGAACCCGAUGAGGACGAAACACAUGCAUCUGCAUUGAAAUUUCUGUAGGAUGCAGUAAACGGAGCCUGACUCCAGUCGGUUUUCACAAGCCCCCCUCUUGUUGCCCAAUCGUCAGCAUUCCACAAGCUAGAGUAAAUUCUCAUGGGUUGGUUCUUUGGGUAUGCAACACCUAGAGACUCAGCAUUCUUGAAUUCUCUGAUCGGUGUACCAUCCACAGAAAAGCUGAAAUGGGAGCACAAAUAAGUCAGAAAAACGAGACGAUAUCGUCUAAAUGUGAGGUGUUUGGUAACUGUGAAAUUACUUACAUGAUGCGUUGGGGAUUCCAGAGGAUGGAAUAGGUGUGAAAAUCUGCAGUCGGGUCGAACCAGAGAUAGAAUUGCUGCUCCCUGUUGCCCUUUCCUUGGCCAAACACAUUGGUGUGAAGAAUAUAAGGAUCCCCACUAAGGUUUCCCAAGAACUCGAAGUCUAUCUCAUCAUGGGUUGAUCCUUGAGAUGACAACUGCACAAUACAUACACAAUAUUAGUUAUAACUUCCCAUCUAUAGUAUCAAGAAAGAAAAAAAGCUAAAAUAUCGUCCAGCUUACAUAAUAGGCAGUGACGGUGCCAGCAGAAUUUCCAG